GCCGUGGCGGGCGCGGCCUACGGGGCCCACGGAAUGCGCCUCAGUGACCGGGACGAGUAUCAGAAAGAGCUGUACGAGACCGCCAAUCGCUUCCACCUCCUGCACAGCCUGGCCCUGCUGGCGACGCCGCACUGCCGCCGCCCCCACCUGGUGAGAGACCCCCCGGCAGCCCGAAACCGGGGAGAUUCAACCCAAAAAUACACCCCGAAAUCGGGGAAAUUCACCCCAAAAAUCCACCCCGAAAUGUGAAAAAUUCAACCCAAAAAUCCACCCCAAAAUGUGAAAAAUUCAACCCAAAAAUACACCC